rnacentral:rRNA from 1 species
CCUACGGGCGGCAGCAGUGGGGAAUAUUGGUCAAUGGGCGUAAGCCUGACCCAGCAAAGCCGCGUGAGGGAUGAAGGUUCUCUGGUUCGUAACCCCCUUUUAUGAGGGAGUGAAGUGCGGGACGUGUCUCGAAUUGUAUGUACCUUAUUAAUAACCAUCGGCUAACUCCGUGCCAGCAUCCGCGGUAAUACGCAGGUUUCGAGCGUUAUCCGGAUUUAUUGGGUUUAAGGGGUGUGUAGUCGGCCUUUUAAGUCAGCGGUGAAAGUCUGUGGCUCAACCAGAGAAUUGCCGUUGAAACUGGGAGGCUUGAGUGUGUGUGAGGCAGGCGGAAGGCGUGGUGUAGCGAUGAAAUGCGUAGAUAUCAGGAAGAACCCCGAUGGCGAAGGCAGACUGCCAAGCCAUGACUGACGCUGAGGCACGAAAGCGUGGGGAUCAAACAGGAUUAGAUACCCGUGUAGUC